UACGGAGGGGGCUAGCGUUGUUCGGAAUUACUGGGCGUAAAGCGCACGUAGGCGGACCUUUAAGUCGGGGGUGAAAUCCCGGAGCUCAACUCCGGAACUGCCUUCGAUACUGGAGGUCUUGAGUCCGAAAGAGGUUGGUGGAAUGUCGAGUGUAGAGGUGAAAUUCGUAGAUAUUCGACGGAACACCAGUGGCGAAGGCGGCCAACUGGUUCGGUACUGACGCUGAGGUGCGAAAGCGUGGGGAGCAAACAGG
rnacentral:rRNA from 1 species